AGGGCGUCAUAGAGGGUUCUGUGCUGGACCGUGUAUAAGUUCCUUGGAAUAGGGCGUCAUAGAGGGUGAGAAUCCCGCUUUGACAUACCAGUGCUUUGUGAUGCGCUCUCAAAGAGUCGAGUUGUUUGGGAAUGCAGCUCAAAAUGGGUGGUAAAUUCCAUCUAAAGCUAAAUAUUGGCGAGAGACCGAUAGCGAACAAGUACCGUGAGGGAAAGAUGAAAAAAAGCACUUUGGAAAGAGAGUUAAACAGUACGUCGAAAUUGCUGAAAGGGAAACGCUUGAAGUCAGUCGCGUUGUGCAGAACUCAGCUGGCUUUUGCUUGGUGUAUUUUCUGUAUAACGGGCCAGCAUCAAUUUUGGCCGCUGGAAAAAGGCUUUAGAAUGUGGCACCUUCGGGUGUGUUAUAGUCUAGAGUCAUAUACAGCGGCUGGGAUUGAGGUCUGCAGCACGCCUUUAUGGCUGGGGUUUUCGCCCACAUUCGUGCUUAGGAUGCUGGCCGUAAUGGCUUUAAACGACCCGUCUUGAAACACGAGCUAAGGCUGGG
rnacentral:rRNA from 1 species